UUCAUUUUGUGUUGUUUACCUGGUGUUCUUUGAGAGUGACUGACAAUGGCGCCUGAAAAAGAAAAUUCACGAAAUUCCGUGCGGUCCCAUUGAAAGCAAGUUUACUCAUGGAGUAAAGAAAGGAGCAAUUCGGGAGUCAUGAGCACAGGACAAUGCCCCAAAAUCCACCUCCAGGCUGUGUAAAGUCUAUUUGACCAAGGUGAUGGGGUGCUGCAUCAGAUGACCUGGGCUCCAUAAUCACCCAACCUCAACCCAAUUAAGAUGGUUUUGGAUGAGUUGGAUCACAGAGUGAAGGAAAAGCAGCCAACAAGUGCUCAGCAUACGCGGGAACUCCUUCAAGACUGUUGGAAAAGCAUUCCUCAUGAAGCUGGUUGAGAGAAUGCCAAGAGUGUGCAAAGCUGUCAUCAAGGCAAAGGGUGGCUACUUUGAAGAAUCUCAAAUAUAAAAUAUAUCUUUAUUUGUUUAACACUUUUUUGGUUACUACAUAAUUCCAUAUGUGUUAUUUCAUAGUUUUGAUGUCUGUCACGCCCUGACCUUAGUUAUCUUUGUUUUCUUUAUUAUUUUGGUUAGGUCAGGAUGUGACGAGGGUGGUUUGUGUAGCUUUUGUAUUGUCUAGGGGGUUUUGUAUGUCAUGGGGUUGUUGUAUAUCUAGGGGUUGUUGUAUAUCUAGGUGUUUAUAUGUCUAUUGUUGCCUUGAUUGGUUCCCAAUCAGAGGCAGCUGUUUAUCGUUGUCUCUGAUUGGGGACCAUAUUUAGUUAGCCAUAUUCCUUGGGUAUUUUGUGGGUUAUUGUCUAUGUGUAGUUGCCUGUCAGUACGUGUGUCACAUGGCGUCAUGUUCAGUUUGUUGUUUGGUCAGUGUUUAUUCUUCAUUAAAAGAAGUAUGUGUUCUUA